rnacentral:miRNA from 1 species
CAGGGUACCGGAUGAGAUGGGG